GACGAACGCUGGCGGCGUGCUUAACACAUGCAAGUCGAACGGAAAGGCCCUGCUUUUGUGGGGUGCUCGAGUGGCGAACGGGUGAGUAACACGUGAGUAACCUGCCCUUGACUUUGGGGUAACUUCAGGAAACUGGGGCUAAUACCGGAUAGGAGCUCCUGCUGCAUGGUGGGGGUUGGAAAGAUUCGGCGGUUGGGGAUGGACUCGCGGCUUAUCAGCGUGUUGGUGGGGUAGUGGCUUACCAAGGCUUUGACGGGUAGCCGGCCUGAGAGGGUGACCGGCCACAUUGGGACUGAGAUACGGCCCAGACUCCUACGGGAGGCAGCAGUGGGGAAUAUUGCACAAUGGGCGGAAGCCUGAUGCAGCAACGCCGCGUGCGGGAUGACGGCCUUCGGGUUGUAAACCGCUUUCGCCUGUGACGAAGCGUGAGUGACGGUAAUGGGGAAAGAAGCACCGGCUAACUACGG
rnacentral:rRNA from 1 species